rnacentral:tRNA from 1 species
GCUUUUGUGGUGUAGUGGUUAACACACUCGGCGCGUAUUCGAGAGAUCUGAGGUUCGAGUCCCACCAAGGGCG